rnacentral:rRNA from 1 species
AGCGAACGCUGGCGGCAGGCUUAACACAUGCAAGUCGAGCGGGCGUAGCAAUACGUCAGCGGCAGACGGGUGAGUAACGCGUGGGAACAUACCUUUUGGUUCGGAACAACACAGGGAAACUUGGUAGCUAAUACCGGAUAAGCCCUUACGGGGAAAGAUUUAUCGCCGAAAGAUUGGCCCGCGUCUGAUUAGCUAGUUGGUGAGGUAACGGCUCACCAAGGCGACGAUCAGUAGCNGGUCUGAGAGGAUGAUCAGCCACAUUGGGACUGAGACACGGCCCAAACUCCUACGGGAGGCAGCAGUGGGGAAUAUUGGACAAUGGGCGAAAGCCUGAUCCAGCCAUGCCGCGUGAGUGAUGAAGGCCCUAGGGUUGUAAAGCUCUUUUGUG